CCUACGGGAGGCAGCAGUGAGGAAUAUUGGUCAAUGGCCGGAAGGCUGAACCAGCCAUGCCGCGUGAAGGUCAGUGCCCUAUGGGCGUUAAACUUCUUUUGUGCGGGAGCAAUAAUGGUCACGUGUGGCCAGACGAGAGUACCGUACGAAUAAGGAUCGGCUAACUCCGCGCCAGCAGCCGCGGUAAUACGGAGGAUCCGAGCGUUAUCCGGAUUUAUUGGGUUUAAAGGGUGAGUAGGCGGCCUUUUAAGUCAGCGGGGAAAGUCUGUGGGCCAAACAAAGAAAUGCCGUUGAAACUGGGGGGCUUGAGUAUGUGUGAAGUAGGCGGAAUGCGGGGUGUAGCGGGGAAAUGCUUAGAUAUCACGCAGAACCCCGAUUGCGAAGGCAGCCUGCCAAGGCAUGACUGACGCUGAUGCACGAAAGCGUGGGGAUCAAACAGGAUUAGAUACCCCAGUAGUC
rnacentral:rRNA from 1 species